CUAAAGUUUUUCUGCUGGACACAAGAUGUCUCCUACUAAGACUGCAACAGUUUAUAUAUUUGUAUUUACAUUUUAACACUGUCAUUGCUGUUAUUAUUUUCAUUGUUUUAAAUGCUCUUUAUGAUGAUAUUCUGCUAAUAAACUUGAUCUGUGUGCAGAUGGCGGGCCUCUGCUGGAUGGCUGUGACACUCGCCUUCAUCCUGUUUACUGAAAACAGUUUUGCUGCCGUGGACCAGAACAGGCUUGCAAGUAUUGUAAAUGGCAUCUCGAAAGCGUACAGAACACAAGGCAUGUUCAGUCUGGCUGUAAGAAUUCCAGACGACCAGAAUCGGAAAAUCUACGAUAUCCUGCAGCAAGUCUUUCAAAGUGAUCCUGUUAAAGACGUGGCAAAACAGCUUGACGAGAACAAGGUGUACGUCGGCAGCAGGGUGGUUGCAGCCAGACCUCUGCCUCGGGACACAGGAGGAGCUGAUCAUGCAGAUUCACGUGUUGCUGACCACUUGGACGACUUGUUCAACCGUCGCGAUGAGAAUGACUUGUUGCUUUUCUAUGUUUAUGCCUCCCCAUGUGUUGAAAAAUGUACACGUAACUCACAUAAUGAGAGUAUCCUCGGAAGGAUAAAUCAAAUUCAGCAAUGGAAGAGUCACGCUUUUGUGUUUUCUAAAAUCUUCAAGCCCCGCAAUCGUCCGGGCAAUACAGUGGAAGAGCUUAGUGGAGCCCUUUGGCGACUCGGGACUGUAGUUGGUCUUGACAACAUAUUCCGUUGUGACAAACAAAAUGGUUGGAUGCAUUGCAUCAGCUGCUCUAGUAAUAAUAGAGUUACACAGGCUUGUGUUUCAGAUACAAAUACACAACCUCAGCAAGGUCAGGUUGGCAGUGGAAUAGGAGGUGGCAGGGGCAGAGGUAGGGGUCGCAGAAUCAAUAGAGACACCAAUCAAAAUAAUGGCAAUGAUGUGAAUACAGAUGAAGAUGACUCUUCCUCACAAGGUGGUCUUGAUAAUGUUAAUGGAACCGAUGUAAAUACAGAUGAAGAUGAUUCUUCCUCACAAGGUGGUCUUGAUAAUGUUAAUGGAACCGAUGUAAAUACAGAUGAAGAUGAUUCUUCCUCACAAGGUGGUCUUGAUAAUGUUAAUGGAACCGAUGUAAAUACAGAUGAAGAUGAGUCUUCCUCACAAGGUGGUCUUGAUAAUGGUAAUGGACAUGGUGUGAAUACAGAUGAAGGUAUGCCUUCAUUACAAGGUGGUCUUGAUAAUGGUUUUGGAAAUGGUGUGAAUACAGAUGAAGGUAUGCCUGCCAUACAAGGUGGUCUUGAUAAUGGUUUUGGAAAUGGUGUGAAUACAGAUGAAGGUAUGCCUCCCAUACAAGGUGGUCUUGAUAAUGGUUUUGGAAAUGGUGUGAAUACAGAUGAAGGUAUGCCUGCCAUACAAGGUGGUCUUGAUAAUGGUAAUGGAAAUUAUGAUUCCAAUAUUGGUGAAAGUGUCUCCCCAUCACUAGAGGGUCCUGAUUAUGGUGGACAAAAAGGCAGGGAAGGAAAAGGUAGAGGAAUGAGCAGACGCAGAGGACGAAAAGGCGGAGUAGGGAGGAGACGCAAAGGACGAAAAGGAAGAGUAGGGGGGAGACGCAAAGGACGAAAAGGCAGAGUAGGGAGGAGGGGCAAAGGACGAAAAGGUAGAGGAAUGAGCAGACGCAAAGGACGAAAAGGCAGAGUAGGGAGGAGACGCAAAGGACGAAAAGGAAGAGAAGGGGGGAGACGCAAAGGACGAAAAGGCAGAGUAGGGAGGAGGGGCAAAGGACGAAAAGGUAGAGGAAUGAGCAGACGCAAAGGACGAAAAGGCAGAGUAGGGAGGAGACGCAAAGGACGAAAAGGAAGAGUAGGGGGGAGACGCAAAGGACGAAAAGGCAGAGUAGGGAGGAGGGGCAAAGGACGAAAAGGUAGAGGAAUGAGCAGACGCAAAGGACGAAAAGGCAGAGUAGGGAGGAGACGCAAAGGACAAAAAAACAGAGUAGGGAGGAGACGAAAAGGAAGAAAAGGAAGAGUAGGGAGCAGACGCAAAGGACGAAAAGGCAGAGUAGGGAGGACACCCAAAGGACGAAAAGGAAGAGUAGGGAAGAGACGCAAAGGACGACAAGGUAGAGGAAUGAGCAGGGGAUGGGGUAAAAGAGGUGGCAGUCGUAGAAGAGGUGGAAUUCGUAGAGGAGGUGGCAGACGUAGAGGAGGCAGCAAACAUGGAAGUGGUGGAAUUCGUAGGGGAGGUGGCAGACGUAGAGGAGGUGGGAGACGUAGAAGGGGCCGCAGAGGAUAGUUAAGUUUGGGUAAAGCUAUGAUUCAGGUGAAACAGGUUAGUUAGAAUCUGAAAAAGAAGCCCCACAGAUCCACCCUGACUGAGACAUACUCCUUUUGCUUGGACAAAGUGUGUACAGCCAUGCUAGCAGCUUAAUGCUAUAACCACCAUUUCACCAUGCUAGCUGUAAUUAGUGAUUAGUAAUUAGUUUUUCAGGUAUUUGGUCCUAAAAUAUUGGAUAAACAUCAACCUCUGGGCACCAAGAAUGUCAAACAUUUACUGCUGAUAUAUUCAAUAGUUUUUGAGACAUUUCAUUCUAAACUGAAUGGUGCAUUAAACAAGCGAUCAACAGAUUGAUAGCAUGGCUAAAAAUGCUAAACUAAUAAUAUAGCUAAUAACAAACUAAAAAAUAUAACAAGCAUAUUUCUCAAGCACUUCUUCAUGUUGAUACAAUGACUUUCAACUAAAGCCAAAUUGUAAAAAAAAAUCAGUAAUAGUAUUGACAAUGUUAGCAAAUCAAUACAAACAAGAAAAACAAAUUUUAUUUUUAAAACCUUUUUCCAUUUCAUUUGAAACUCUGAAUUUUUAAGUGCAUUAUAUAGUGUUUUUAUAAUUGAUGAUCAUGUAGUGGACCUCUAUCCAUUCCCAAAGCCGGUUUUUCAUGUUAAUCUGCAUUUGUUGUGUUUAUGAUUCAUUUAUAGUCAGAUUUUUGAAUUUCAACCUGAAAAAUAAGAAAUAAAUGUGUUUCUUGUCCUCAGUAUUUACAGUACUCAUGUCAUUGUACUCCAUGUUUCUGUAAAGCAUUACACAAAUCUCUAGAUUUUCUGUUGUUUUGUUCUGAUUAAAGCUUGGCUCAGCAUCAUUCUGGCCUGUCUGGCUGUCUGUCAUUUGAUAAAAAUUAGAGUACUACUGUAUUGUCUUUUACCUAGAUUGGAUUCUGUCGGCUAAACAGAACAACCCAGUUUUUAUUUC
rnacentral:lncRNA from 15 species